rnacentral:rRNA from 1 species
GAUGAACGCUGGCGGCGUGCCUAAUACAUGCAAGUCGAGCGAACGGACGAGAAGCUUGCUUUUCUGAUGUUAGCGGCGGACGGGUGAGUAACACGUGGAUAACCUACCUAUAAGACUGGGAUAACUUCGGGAAACCGGAGCUAAUACCGGAUAAUAUUUUGAACCGCAUGGUUCAAAAGUGAAAGACGGUCUUGCUGUCACUUAUAGAUGGAUCCGCGCUGCAUUAGCUAGUUGGUAAGGUAACGGCUUACCAAGGCAACGAUGCAUAGCCGACCUGAGAGGUUGAUCGGCCACACUGGAACUGAGACACGGUCCAGACUCCUACGGGAGGCAGCAGUAGGGAAUCUUCCGCAAUGGGCGAAGGCCUGACGGAGCAACGCCGCGUGAGUGAUGAAGGUCUUCGGAUCGUAAAACUCUGUUAUUAGGGAAGAACACAUGUGUAAGUAACUGUGCACAUCUUGACGGUACCUAAUCAGAAAGCCACGGCUAACUACGUG